rnacentral:rRNA from 1 species
CCUACGUGUGGCAGCAGUGGGGAAUAUUGCACAAUGGGGGAAACCCUGAUGCAGCGACGCCGCGUGAGUGAAGCAGUAUUUCGGUAUGUAAAGCUCUAUCAGCAGGGAAGAAAAUGACGGUACUUAACUAAGAAGCCCCGGUUAACUACGUGCCAGCAGCGGGGGUAUUACGUAGGGGGCAAGCGUUAUCCGGAUUUACUGGGUGUAAAGGGAGCGUAGACGGCCAGACAAGGCAGAAGUGAAAGCCCAGGGCACAACCCUGGGACUGCUUUUGAAACUGCCGGGCUGGAGUGAAGGCGAGGUAAGCGGAAUUCCUAGUGUAGCGGUGAAAUGCGUAGAUAUUAGGAGGAACACCAGUGGCGAAGGCGGCUUACGGGACUGUAACUGACGUUGAGGCUCGAAAGCGUGGGGAGCAAACAGGAUUAGAUACCCGGGUAGUC